UACGGGGGGGGCAAGCGUUGUUCGGAAUUACUGGGCGUAAAGGGUGCGUAGGCGGCUUUCUAAGUUGGAUGUGAAAACUAUGGGCUCAACCCAUAGCCUGCAUCCAAAACUGGAGAGCUUGGGUUCUGGAGGGGAAAGCGGAAUUCCUGGUGUAGCGGUGAAAUGCGUAGAUAUCAGGAGGAACACCGGUGGCGAAGGCGGCUUUCUGGACAGACACCGACGCUCAGGCACGAAAGCGAGGGGAGCAAACAGG
rnacentral:rRNA from 1 species